AAAAUGACUCUCGGCAAUGGAUAUCUCGGCUCUCGCAUCGAUGAAGAGCGCAGCGAAAUGCGAUACGUGGUGCGAAUUGCAGAAUCCCGCGAACCAUCGAGAAUUUGAACGCAAGUUGCGCCCGAGGCCAGCCGGCCAAGGGCACGUCCGCCUGGGCGUCAAGCGUUGCGUCGCUCCGUGCCAGCUCCAUCCCACCCGACGGGUGUGCGUGCGGAUUGGCCGGAUGUGUAGAGUGGCCCGUCGUGCCCACGGGCGCGGCGGGCUGAAGAGCGGGUGAUCGUCU
rnacentral:rRNA from 1 species